AGCAGCCGCGGUAAUUCCAGCUCCAAUAGCGUAUAUUAAAGUUGUUGCAGUUAAAAGAGCUCGUAGUUGAAUUUCGGGGUUAGCAGGUCGGUCGUGCCAUCGGUAUGAACUGGUCUCGCUGAUCCCUCCCUCUUGACGAACUGUGAUGCCAUUAAUUUGGUGUCGCAGGGAAUCAGGACUGUUACUUUGAAAAAAUUAGAGUGUUUAAAGCAGGCUCACGCUUGAAUACAUUUGCAUGGAAUAAUGAAAUAGGACGUUUGAUCCUAUUUUGUUGGCUUCUAGGAUUGACGUAAUGAUUAAUAGGGAUAGUUGGGGGCAUUAGUAUUCAAUUGUCAGAGGUGAAAUUCUUGGAUUUAUUGAAGACUGACUACUGCGAAAGCAUUUGCCAAGGAUGUUUUCAUUAAUCAAGAACGAAAGUUAGGGGAUCGAAGACGAUCAGAUACCGUCGUAGUCUUAACCAUAAACUAUGCCGACUAGGGAUCGGAUGAUGUUAAUUUUUUAAUGACUCAUUCGGCGCCUU
rnacentral:rRNA from 1 species